rnacentral:rRNA from 1 species
UACAGAGGGUGCAAGCGUUAAUCGGAAUUACUGGGCGUAAAGCGUGCGUAGACGGUUAUGUAAGUCAGAUGUGAAAGCCCCGGGCUCAACCUGGGGAAUUGCAUUUGAGACUGUGUAGCUAGGGUGCGGAAGAGGGAAGCGGAAUUUCCGGUGUAGCGGUGAAAUGCGUAGAUAUCGGAAGGAACACCAGUGGCGAAAGCGGCUUCCUGGUCCAGCACCGACGUCAGGCACGAAAGCGUGGGGAGCAAACAGG